AGGACGAACGCUGGCGGCGUGCCUAACACAUGCAAGUCGAGCGAAGCUAAAGGUUUAGCUUGCUAGACCUUUAGACUGAGCGGCGAACGGGUGAGUAACACGUGGGUGAUCUGCCUGGAAGUCUGGGAUAACAGUUCGAAAGGACUACUAAUACCGGAUGAUAUUGUUAGAGUAGAUCUAACGAUCAAAGCGUUACGGAGCGCUUUCAGAUGAGCCCGCGUCCCAUUAGCUAGUUGGUAAGGUAAAGGCUUACCAAGGCGACGAUGGGUAGCCGGUCUGAGAGGAUGGUCGGCCACACUGGAACUGAGACACGGUCCAGACUCCUACGGGAGGCAGCAGUGGGGAAUUUUGCGCAAUGGGGGCAACCCUGACGCAGCGACGCCGCGUGAGCGAAGAAGGCCUUCGGGUUGUAAAGCUCUGUCUAGGGGGAAGAUAGUGACGGUACCCCUGGAGGAAGCCCCGGCUAACUACGUGCCAGCAGCCGCGGU
rnacentral:rRNA from 1 species